UACGUAGGGUGCGAGCGUUAAUCGGAAUUACUGGGCGUAAAGCGUGCGCAGGCGGUUUUGUAAGCCAGAUGUGAAAUCCCCGGGCUUAACCUGGGAAUGGCAUUUGGGACUGCAAGGCUCGAGUGCGGCAGAGGAGACUGGAAUUCCUGGUGUAGCAGUGAAAUGCGUAGAUAUGUGGAGGAAUACCGAUGGCGAAGGCAGCCUCCUGGGCCAACACUGACGCUCAUGCACGAAAGCGUGGGGAGCAAACAGG
rnacentral:rRNA from 1 species